rnacentral:rRNA from 1 species
AAUCAACGCUGGCGGCGUGCCUAACACAUGCAAGUCGAGCGGGGUCCAUCUUGUCGCAAGACAAGGGAAGACCUAGCGGCGAACGGGUGAGUAACACGUGAGCAACCUGCCCCGAAGACUGGGAUAACACCGGGAAACCGGUGCUAAUACCGGAUGCCCUCAGAGAGUCGCAUGGCUCAUUGAGGAAAUGGAUUCCGCUUCGGGAGGGGCUCGCGGCCUAUCAGCUUGUUGUGGGGUAACGGCUACCAAGGCUC